AUUGAACGCUGGCGGAAUGCUUUACACAUGCAAGUCGAGCGGCAGCGCGGGGCAACCUGGCGGCGAGCGGCGAACGGGUGAGUAAUGCAUCGGAACAUGUCCAUGUCGUGGGGGAUAGCCCGCCGAAAGGCGGAUUAAUACCGCAUACGCCCGAGAGGGGAAAGUGGGGGACCGCAAGGCCUCACGCGAUUGGGUUGGCCGAUGUCCGAUUAGCUAGUUGGUGGGGUAAAGGCUUACCAAGGCGAUGAUCGGUAGCUGGUCUGAGAGGAUGAUCAGCCACACUGGGACUGAGACACGGCCCAGACUCCUACGGGAGGCAGCAGUGGGGAAUUUUGGACAAUGGGGGCAACCCUGAUCCAGCCAUUCCGCGUGAGUGAAGAAGGCCUUCGGGUUGUAAAGCUCUUUUGUCCGGAGCGAAACGGUGCGGGUGAAUAUCCUGCGCUACUGACGGUACCGGAAGAAUAAGCACCGGCUAACUACGUGCCAGCCGCCGCAGUAACAC
rnacentral:rRNA from 1 species